AUUGAACGCUGGCGGCAGGCCUAACACAUGCAAGUCGAACGAGUGGCGGACGGGUGAGUAAUGUCUGGGAAACUGCCCGAUGGAGGGGGAUAACUACUGGAAACGGUAGCUAAUACCGCAUACCAUCGGAUGUGCCCAAAUGGGAUUAGCUAGUAGGUGGGGUAACGGCUCACCUAGGCGACGAUCCCUAGCUGGUCUGAGAGGCUGACCAGCCACACGGGAUCGGAGACACGGUCCAGACUCCUACGGGGGGCAGCAGUGGGGAAGACUGCGCAAUGGGCGCAAUCAUGAUGCAGCCAUGCCGCGUGUAUGAAGAAGGCCUUCGGGUUGUAAAGUACUUUCAGCGAGGGGGCGUUACUCGCAGAAAAAGCACCGGCUAACUCCGUGCCAGCAGCCGCGGUAAUUC
rnacentral:rRNA from 1 species